rnacentral:rRNA from 1 species
UACGUAGGGUGCGAGCGUUGCCCGGAUUUAUUGGGCGUAAAGAGCGUGUAGGCGGCCGUACAGGUCAGCUGUGAAAACUCGAGGCUCAACCUCGAGACGUCGGUUGAAACCGUACGGCUAGAGUCCGGAAGAGGAGAGUGGAAUUCCCGGUGUAGCGGUGAAAUGCGCAGAUAUCGGGAAGAACACCCGUGGCGAAGGCGGCUCUCUGGGACGGUACUGACGCUGAGACGCGAAAGCGUGGGGAGCGAACAGG